AUUGAACGCUGGCGGCAGGCCUAACACAUGCAAGUCGAACGAGUGGCGGACGGGUGAGUAAUGUCUGGGAAACUGCCCGAUGGAGGGGGAUAACUACUGGAAACGGUAGCUAAUACCGCAUACUGUGAGAUGGACCUGAGUUGUAUUAGCUAGUUGGUGAGGUAAAGGCUCACCAAGGCGACGAUACAUAGCCGACCGGAGAGGGUGAUCGGCAACACUGGAAAUGAGACACGGUCCAGACUCCGACGGGAGGCAGCAGGGGGGAAUAUUGCACAAUGGGCGCAAGCCUGAUGCAGCCAUGCCGCGUGUAUGAAGAAGGCCUUCGGGUUGUAAAGUACUUUCAGCGAUGAGGCGUUACUCGCAGAAGAAGCACCGGCUAACUCCGUGCCAGCAGCCGCGGUAAUUC
rnacentral:rRNA from 1 species